UUGUAAGUACUGCCUGGAGUAUGUGAGUUCGAGUUCCACUAACACCCGUUUAGAG
rnacentral:snRNA from 1 species